AUUGAACGCUGGCGGCAGGCCUAACACAUGCAAGUCGAACGGUAGCACAGAGAGCUUGCUCUCGGGUGACGAGUGGCGGACGGGUGAGUAAUGUCUGGGAAACUGCCUGAUGGAGGGGGAUAACUACUGGAAACGGUAGCUAGUACCGCAUAACGUCGCAAGACCAAAGAGGGGGACCUUCGGGCCUCUUGCCAUCAGAUGUGCCCAGAUGGGAUUAGCUAGUAGGUGGGGUAACGGCUCACCUAGGCGACGAUCCCUAGCUGGUCUGAGAGGAUGACCAGCCACACUGGAACUGAGACACGGUCCAGACUCCUACGGGAGGCAGCAGUGGGGAAUAUUGCACAAUGGGCGCAAGCCUGAUGCAGCCAUGCCGCGUGUAUGAAGAAGGCCUUCGGGUUGUAAAGUACUUUCAGCGGGGAGGAAGGCGAUAAGGUUAAUAACCUUGUCGAUUGACGUUACCCGCAGAAGAAGCACCGGCUAACUCCGUG
rnacentral:rRNA from 1 species